AUACGUAGGGGGCAAGCGUUAUCCGGAUUUACUGGGUGUAAAGGGAGCGUAGACGGAAGGCCAAGUCUGAUGUGAAAGCCCGCGGCUCAACUGCGGGACUGCAUUGGAAACUGUCAGGCUAGAGUGCAGGAGGGGUAAGCGGAAUUCCUAGUGUAGCGGUGAAAUGCGUAGAUAUUAGGAGGAACACCGGUGGCGAAGGCGGCUUACUGGACUGUAACUGACGUUGAGGCUCGAAAGUGUGGGGAGCAAACAGGAUUAGAUACCCUGGUAGUCCACGCCGCAAACGAUGAAUACUAGGUGUCGGGUUUCUAUAGAGAUUCGGUGCCGCAGCAAACGCAAUAAGUAUUCCACCUGGGGAGUACGUUCGCAAGAAUGAAACUCAAAGGAAUCGACGGGG
rnacentral:rRNA from 1 species